rnacentral:rRNA from 1 species
GUAGUCUGCAACUCGACUACAUGAAGCCGGAAUCGCUAGUAAUCGCGAAUCAGAAUGUCGCGGUGAAUACGUUCCCGGGUCUUGUACACACCGCCCGUCACACCAUGGGAGCCGGAAAUGCCUGAAGUCAGUGGCCCAACCGCAAGGAGGGAGCUGCCGAAGGUGGAGCUGGUGACUGGGGUGAAGUCGUAACAAGGUAAC